CUUAAACGGUAUCUAGCAGGUGAAGACAUGCAAGUCUCUUCUUGAGGCGUAGAGGUGAGGAUUGCUAAGUAGAUACAGUCCAUUUUCAUGGGACAUGAAAACGACUUUUCGCUUAGUUCCCAAUAGGUAGUAGGAGAGGUUAAAGCUCAACUAGCCGAAGAUGGGUAGAAUAGAAUGACAGUUUUUAUUCCACAACGGGUGUGAGAUUAACCCGAGGCAUCAUUAGAUGUACAGCAGUCACAAAUCAUUGUCAAUAUUCCAAUCUGAAGGAAUGAACAUGCUAGCUAGAAUCUAUAAUUUAUCUUAAGUUAUAGACGCUUUUCUCAUCAAUGAUUAUGACUAAGGAAAAGUGAAGUCCAUCCAAAACAUCGUGCCAGCCGCCGCCGUAACAC
rnacentral:rRNA from 1 species